UCACUGCACAAUGCUGCAUAUUCAUAACCUGAAUUAUCUUGUUGAUGAAGCAUGGAACAAGAACAAAAGGAGUGCAAGGCGACUGGGAAAAUUAUCCACGUAAAAGGCUUGUUGGAAGAGGAAGGUCUUCAGCAUGUGCCAUAAAGACAACAGAGAUGGCGCUUGUCUAAUAUUUAAGGAAAGGUAAUUCCAAAAGACUCUAAGGGAUAGUUGUCAAGUGGGUGAGGAAUGAACAAGAUUAUUAAAGUGAUGAGACACAGCAGACACCACAGGACAUGCUUAGACCGUUGAACCGUCACCAUUCUGCUGGACCCUCUUCCCCCAAUUCAAUUCAAUC